rnacentral:rRNA from 1 species
UACGAAGGGGGCUAGCGUUGCUCGGAAUCACUGGGCGUAAAGGGUGCGUAGGCGGGUCUUUAAGUCAGGGGUGAAAUCCCUCGGCUUAACCGGGGAACUGCGUCUGAUACUGGAUGGCUUGAGUUUGGGAGAGGGAUGCGGAAUUCCAGGUGUAGCGGUGAAAUGCGUAGAUAUCUGGAGGAACACCGGUGGCGAAGGCGGCAUCCUGGACCAAGACUGACACUGAAAAGCGAAAGCCAGGGGAGCAAACGGG